rnacentral:rRNA from 1 species
GAUGAACGCUAGCGGCAGGCCUAAUACAUGCAAGUCGAACGGUUGUAGUGAUACAAUAGUGGCGCACGGGUGCGUAACACGUAUGCAACCUACCUUAUAGACGGGGAUAGCCUUUGGAAACGGAGAUUAAUACCCGAUAGUAACCUUGAUUGGCAUCAAUUAAUGUUUAAAGAUUUAUCGCUAUAAGCUGGGCAUGCGUCCAAUUAGUUAGUUGGUUAGGUAAUGGCUGACCAAGACGAUGAUUGGUAGGGGAACUGAGAGGUUAAUCCCCCACACUGGCACUGAGAUACGGGCCAGACUCCUACGGGAGGCAGCAGUAGGGAAUAUUGGGCAAUGGAGGCAACUCUGACCCAGCCAUGCCGCGUGCAGGAUGAAGGCGUUAUGCGUUGUAAACUGCUUUUAUAUAGGAAGAAAUAGACCUUGCGAGGUAAGUUGACGGUACUAUAUGAAUAAGCACCGGCUAACUCCGUGCCAGCAGCCGCGGUAAUACGGAGGGUGCAAGCGUUGUCCGGAUUUAUUGGGUUUAAAGGGUGCGUAGGCGGUUUAUUAAGUCAGUGGUGAAAGACGGUCGCUCAACGAUUGCAGUGCCAUUGAUACUGGUAGACUUGAGUGAGAUUGAGGUAGCUGGAAUGGAUAGUGUAGCGGUGAAAUGCAUAGAUAUUAUCCAGAACACCAAUUGCGUAGGCAAGUUACUAAGUCUCAACUGACGCUGAGGCACGAAAGUGUGGUAUCAAACAGGAUUAGAUACCCUGGUAGUCCACACUGUAAACGAUGAUACUAACUGUUGCUUUCGGGUCAGUGNACAGAAGAAUCGNUAAGUUAUCCACCUUGGGGAGUACGCGGCAACGGUGAAACUCAANGGAUUGACGGGGUCCGCACAGCGGUGGAGCAUGUG